GAGGGUGGAACUCGAUAGUACUCUUUGGUUUCAAGAGUUCAAUCAUCUUUAUGUUCUGAAAAUGAAGAACUUGCAAUCUUCAAGGUGAAAGCUGAACCUACUUUGCAAUCUUCAUGCAUAUUCAUUUUGUGUAUACAUCUCACCCUUGCAGCUUUAAGAUAAGUAAUAUUUUUCAUUAGUGAAUAUAAGAUAAGCAGCAUAAAGUAACUUUGUUAUUAGAAAGUAAAAUUAAGUUUUUUGGAUGGUCACCGAACUUAUAAAUUCAGUAUGCCAUUUGCCAUUAACCCUUAAAAGUUUUUCGGAUGGUCAUUGAACUUAUCAAAUUGUUAUUCCAUCUAUCACUCAAUAAUGCAUCGUUAAAAAUUUAGAGAUAUGUGAAGUUCUUAAUUAAAAACAUAUUUAACUUUAUUCGAGAAAAGACACUUAAAUAAUUUAAGGACCAAUAAAAUGAGUAUUGUUAAUUAAGUGAUUAUUCGAAUUAAAGUAUACUAGUGUUAUUGAAUUCGGAAACCUAGUGUCUUUUUCAUAUACAAAUCUUUGUCCAAAGUUUCAAAGUAACCUUUAGCUUAAUUUACUUAGGGUUUGUUUGAUUGUAAAAAUGGAAUUUAGAUGGAAAGAAAACGAAUUUCAGGAAAUUAAAUUGUUUAGAACUUGUUUUAUCGAGAAUUGUUAAUUAAAUGUGUUUGAUUAGUAUAAUUUUCUACUUGUAAAAUGUUGAAGUGUUAGAUUUUUUGAUGUUCAUUUGACUUUGUUUUUCAUGAAAAUUGUUAAUUAAAGGGAUAAAUUUUUUUAUAAUUGAGGAUAAAAUUUGUAUAUAUAUAUAUUAAAAAAAAUAAAGCUGACAAUUCAAGGAAAAAUGUCACAUGUGGGGCGUGGGGAGAAUGAAUUCCAUGGAAAAUUGUUACAAUCAAACAACCCACAAGAUGGAACCAUGGAAAAUUUUCGAAAUCAAACGGAUCCUUAGAUUUUAGUUAACAGGAAAUUUAAAUAGAAAUUUAUAUAAAUUCAAUUAAGACUACAGUUAAUUGAAAAAAAAAAUAUAUUGAUUACACACAAUUAUUUAUUGACUUGUCCAAGGUCUUAUUCCAAGGAAAUAAAACUUAUAAAAGUGUGAAAAAAAUAAAAAGAAAAGUUAAUAAUUUGAGCGGCCCAAGCCGCAGAAACUGCACAGCGACAUUUAAAAUGUUGAACUUGACUUCCACAAUCGUAACAGAAAUUAAUGCCGCACCUGCACUCAACAUGAAAGCAAAUUUAAAUUACGCCUCUGAAAAAAAGGCAAUGAACAAAUAGCAAUCCUCAUAAUCCAAAAUUGAACCUUGCAGAAGUUAUUUACAAAUUUCCCAGUUAAUCUAAGAAAAAGAAGCAAGCAAGCAAGUUCCAACCUUUACCUGGUCCCUCACUAUUCAUCCAUCAAGGGAUUUUUCGACGAAGUUUAUGAUAAAAGCUUUAGUAGAAUUUGAUAUAAUUUGACGAAAUAUUUCGUCGAAAAUUGAUCAAAAUUGUGGAUCUCAUGACUGUGUGAUUAAAAUUAAUUUUUAACUUUAAUCUCAGCCUUUUAAGCCAUACCGACCUUUUCACAAGAAUUAUGCUAUCUAUGAUUGAUAUUUUGGGCAUGCUUGGGAGUUUUAUUUAAAGGUUUUGACCGCUUAUGAGAUGUUGAGAAAAUCGAUGUUUCUAAGUUUUUUAAGAUUUUGGGUGGUUUAAUUUAUAAGCUGGAUGUAUUUCUAAACCCCCAAAUCGGUGAUUUCUGAAACCAUGUAUUUUGUUGAAAACUAACUUCUGUGUAAAACAUAAUAAAUAAAAGAAUUAUUUAUAAGCGAAAAAUCACUUUCUAACUAAAAGUUUAAUCGUGAGAUAUAAAUCAAUUUUGUGUAAGAUUGCUUCUAAAUUAAAAAAUGCAACUAAUAAGAAGAGAAUUCACUAAUUAACUCUCAAGUAUGUGUCGAACUGUUUUAAAAUCUGCUAGUGGAAACCUUCAAAAAUUGAACCAAUCAUAAACGUCUAAAAUCGAUACCUAGAAAAUCCCAAUAAUGGGUACCCAAAUCUCUCCUUAAACUAGGGACCAUCAACCGUAUAGAAAAAUGAACUUACUCUUUCACGAACACAUAUCAUGCAUUUAUACCAAACCAAUCAAGAAAAACACAAAAAGAAUUCAAGAUUUCACCUGCAGUUGAUGUCUCGACAGCCCUCAAUGCGGUCCACAAAAUGUCCGCACCCGGGGCAACUCAUCCACUUCUCCUUCUCCGCAAGCAUUCCAAAAGCAAUAUCAUUCUCGUCCCUCAAUUCCCAACUCUGUUCACACCUAAACCCGCUAUGCCAAACCAUCUGACAUUGAAAGCAAAACCAAUUCUUACAACUUGGACACCGCGACUUCUUCACAUUCCCACCACACUCAUUCAAGAUCAGAGCAUUGCAAUUCCUUUGAGGACAAUAACUCUUAUUCACUUCCAGAAUCGUCGAUUCACAUAGCACAUCGCACCACUUCACAAAAAGCGAUAAACCGAUCAUCGACCGGCACGAAACUGGGUCCAAUAACUGGUUGCAAUUCAUAUCCGGGCAUUUGAUGUAUCCCACGUUAUCAUCCUCGACCUUCACUUUGAUGUAUUUGAUAAUGCAAUCAGUACAAUAGGGAUGUCUGCAUUUGUUCUUGUUCUUGAAUUUUUGGUCGUGUAAUAUCAUCGUCUCCAUGCAGAUUUCGCAAGUGAAUGCUUGAUUUUCGUCUUCUUGUUGGUCGUGCUUUGAAUCAUGGGGGAUUGUGUCUUCCAUUGUUUUUCCUUUUUCCCCUUUAAGAAAAUUAGUUCUUUUAAAAGUGCAGCAAAAAACUAAAGAAUCACUGAAUUUAUCAUAAAAGAUGAUGCUACAUAUAUAUCAGAAUGCUCAUAACGGUAUGCAUCUUUCAUAAGGAGGGACCCACUUCGAAUAAAAUAUAAUUUAUCAGAAGUGAGUUCCCAUCCACAUGAGGAUGUGGACAUCAUUAUAAACAUCAUAUUAUGUACAAAUAACAUAUUCCUCGUUGCAAUCUUAAUAUUAAAUUAGAGUUGUUACCUCGGUAUAGUUUGCAAAUUAAUUCCGUCAGCAUCUUGAAUGAUCUAGCGAUUUAUUAUCGAACACGACAACAGGAUAUAUGUUUGCACCUUGAUUAGGUUACGAGUAUUUGGAUCACGAAAAAACACAAUAAUCAGAGGGAAAAAAAAAAUUGUGAUUGACCUCUGGAAAAUAAAUUUGCACCUUUAAAAUUAGUAUUUAUAAAAGGCUGUGGUCUUUUAUUGAGUUCAAUUAGGAUUCUUAUCAUAGUCAAAUUCCGAUUUGGAAUCAUGGAGUCCUGUUAGGACUCUUCAAGACUUUUUUAAUAUUUCAGAACCUAAAAAUAAUUUCUUUAAUUGAAAUAAAUGUUUUGUUCAAUUAAUAAUAUAAUAUCUUUAUUUAUUUAUUAUCCCUUAUAAUUGGGCCUAAACGGCCACUAGUGUUUAUCGCUAAGCAUUGGAACCAAUCGACUGAUUAAGAGACGCAUUCGGUUGGAGAAUAUUACAGUGGGGUCCCUAACUCCCCCCCCCCCCCCCCCCCCCCCCACCCCCCCACCCCAUUUUUCCGGGAAACUGAUUUUAUUUUUAUCUAAACAAAAAAGAAAUAAAAAAGAAAACAGAAAAGUAAAAAAUAAAAAUAAAAGAAUAUACAAAAUACACCAGUCCUUAUAUUUUAUUUAUAUUUCCUUUUCCUUUUUCUUUAAUGAAACAAAAGCUAAAAGUUGUAUUUUUAUUAUAAAAAAAAAAAAAGGUUGAGUUUUUAAUUAGGCAAUUAUAUUUACAUCAAAAUCUUUAUUUUCUAUCACACAUUUUAGUUGGAAUAAAAAUUCUCAACCUUAGCUCAUGCUCAAACUUUAUUUGUUAUGUUCUUAUGUUCACCUUCAGUUAAUUAGUACUUGUCUUUGAUGAAGGUUUAUAUCCAAAUGUUUCAUGGGCGUGCUUUGAAACGAGGGGCAAGUAUUUAGUCGAAUUAUAUAUAUAUAUAUAUAGUAAUUCAUGAAAGAUGAAUUAUUUUGUUCAAUAAAUUAUGUUAAAUC
rnacentral:lncRNA from 1 species